UAUAUUUUGUGUGAAAAACUGGAAAACAAAGUGCAUAACUGCAUAACCUCACUUAUCGCAGUUUUGCACAUUUUGAUGAUGGGAAUUGCGGUUCAAGUAAUUAUGAGUUAUAGAUGGAGCCCACUGUUUACUUCAAACUGAAACCUUUUGGGUCCACUUUUUUCGUUGUUAUUUCCUGGCAGCCACUCUUGUUUUAAGCAGAAUGGGUGUAAAGUUAAAAAUAAUCCCGUAAAAUUGUUAAUAUAACUCCUUUGCACUGGCAUGGCAUGUAUUUGAAAACUUACGUUUAACAAAUACGUCACAAAGUCUCAGCCAUCGUCGAAAAAUAUAAUAAGGGCUUUAUAACAAGAAGCGCUUUCUGAUUUUACUGUGGACGUGUGGAAGAAUAGUGUGAAAUAUUGCGAAAAACCAACUUUUACUCUUGUGUACAUUUUUGUACGUCUCUAUCUGAGAGUAGUCGUCUUGUAUAAAAAAUAUAGCCUACUAAUAAAGGAAAUUAAAGUGUUUUUAUUUCUGGGUUGCCCCCAAUUCCACUUUGCCCUUGUCUGAUAAUCAAGACACUGAUAAUGAAAUUGGUGUAAGUGCAUCGAAUACAAAUGUGUUGAAUAGAUGAAUAAAAGAGAGACAACUGCUUUUUUCAAAAAGGCCAUUUCAAAUUUAUUCAAAAAGCACAGCCCCAUUGAAAAGGGUCCAUUCACGAUGAAGUUUGGCUUCCUGCAUGACAUAGGUCUCGGGCAUCAAGCUCACUGUAAAUGGUCUAAAUUGGUCUUGCAUCUCUAAGACAUGGACUCACUAAGAGCGACUUCUGCAGUAGGCUUGAGACCUGCCUGCCUGCCUCGCAACAAUCUCUGCACUAUGAUUCCAAAUCAUUCUAUAAAACGCUGUCAAUUACAAGCCAUGAUAUGAGGCAUGAGGCCGUCUCAGUGUAUGUCUUGUGGUGUACAUUGAAACUGUUUCUUAAAGAACCCAUUCACAAUGAGAUCUGCUUCGCUACAUGCGGCGCGACAGGACUCAAAGACUAAUCCUAAAAGACACAAAAAAACUGACACAGUUUAUCAUUUUAAGCCAUUGACAGCGUUUUCGAAUGUUGGUGCAAAGACUUGUCGCGAGGCAGGUUUCAGCCUUCCGCCAACGUCAGUCUCAGUGAAGCCCUCUCAAAGUGAUCUCAGCGAAAACCAUUCACAAUGAGAUUGAUCUAUGAGGCCUAUGUCGUGCCGCAUGCAGCGAGAUAUGUCUCAUUGUUAAUGAAAAUAGGGCCGUUGUUGUUGUUUAAAGUCGUUUUUUAAAACUUUUGUGGCAAAUUUUACUGAUGUGGCAGAGAGGGGGCAUGCAAUUGGAACAGGACGAUGACUACCCUAAAAGGCACUUCGAGGCUUUUAUGGCCUUUUUAAUGCAAAUUUCAACUUUAAAUCUGACAGUCAUACCAAGGUCAAACAUAACCUCAACAGUAAUCCAGCAACGGUACUUCAAAGCAUUUGAAAGUUUCUCCAUUUGUUUUUAAGUGUUCUAGUUGGUACGUUUUGCUGUGCUUUACUGCAAUAAAGAAAUAUUUAAAUUUUUAUUAUUGUUUACAUUUGUCACCUGUCAAACACAUCAAACAACCAAGUUCCCUAAAUUUGAGCUCUUAUCUAGUUUUUGUGCUCUAUAUAGUCUCGCGUCAACGUAUGCGCUAUGACGUAUCUCAUAUACAAAUGUCCCGGACUAAGUGGCGGUCAGCUCGAUUUGCGUGUGCGUCAUCAAUUUCAUUUUUUCAUUACCAACACAAAGCUAUAAAAAAUUAUCAAAAACAAUGCAAAUUUAAACAGCUAAGGGCUAUCUAAGGGUGGUAUCCUUGAACAUUAAUUUACAUGUGCACUUCGACAACACCAUCAAGUGUCACGAAUUUGUCAAACUGACAUUGACAGUAAAUUAUAGACGUCGUCGCAUGGUUGUUGAAAGUGUUAUCGCUGUUAAUCGCAAGUAUUUUCUGUUCGUUUAUUGUGUUUUGUGAUUUGCGUUUCGUUAGGUUUUUGAUUCUGCGUUUAUUAGUUCUUGUUUUGUGAAUCUGUAUUUUUUGUAACAACUCAUAAUUUAAACACUUCGUAACCUCAAAAAAUAUUUGAUAGUUUGUCACCGCUAUGCCCCUGCUAUGUAAACGUAGUGACAGAAAUAUCAGAUGACGCACACGCAAAUGGAGCUGAGCGCUACCAUAGUAAUGUUAGUAUUCUAUUAAACAUUUGAACAAUAAGCAGUUGAUUUGAGAUUAUACAGGCUGUCCGUUUUUCAAGCUCCAUCAUGGGGAUCUCAGUUACUAUUAGAGAUAUGACGUCUAUUAAAUUAGGGCAAAGUUGCGCAUUUUUAUGCUGAACAAUUAACUAAAAGAAAAUUUGAUUUGACAUUUUUGUUUUUUGAAUUGAGAAAAAUCAAAAUUUGGUAUUUUUUUGAGUAGUGCAUUUAAAAUCCAGUUUGUUUAAAAACAAAAUUUUUGGCGUUUUUUCCAAAGCACUCUUCGCAAAAAUGCUAUUUUCUCUAUUUAAAUCAACAUUUAAGAUUCGAUCAUAUCGUGUGAUACAUUACUGUAAUCAGGAACAAAAAGACAAAAAAUGUCAAAUAUGACGUCUAUAAUAAUAAUAAUAAUUUAUUCGUUCUGAAUACACAGAAAUUAAAUACGUCACGUAUGGAAUACUAAUUAGGAUAUUAUAAUAUGAUUAAAAAUAAUAAAUAUAAACAUAUCAAGUUAAACAGAUAACAAAAAGGAGAAAAAUUACAUAAAAAAGGUAUAAAUUACGAAUAGAGAGACAGCUAGAUCGAGAGGGAACUACUUAAAAAUUUAUUUAUACUAUAAUAACAUUCAUUUAUAAGGUACCUUUUAAUAACGGUUUUAAAAGCAUUUAAUUUAAGAGACUUUGUGUUUGGACUAAGCUUAUUAUAAAGAUUGAGGUUUAAUGUAUUUCUAACGGCAUAAAAAGACAAAGUUGAGUGUUGUAACUCUGACAUGAAGAAAGCUUUGGAAAAUACGACGACAGAUUCAGAUUCCUUGUAAUAAAGUGCCUGGAAAACGUCCUAGUUAAAAACGUCUAGUUCUUUUGGUUUUCGAUUGAAGAAAUAAAAACCAAAGUUACAAAUUUCAGUUUAUUUUCGAUAAUUUAUAAAAUAAUAAUGGCACAUUACAUUUUCUUGCAGAUAAUUGUUCACUAUAAAAAUGCGCAACUUUUCCCUAAUUUAACCGACCUCGUAUCUCUCUAAUAACUGAGGUCCCCAUGGUGGAGCUAUAUGUUGUAGUUAAUGUCACUAUAAUUCUGAAUGCCUUAAAGAUAUUUUUUAUAGAUAUGUUUUUCAAUAUGAAAUGUAAAAUUACAUGUUUAAUAUAUACUUAAUAAAAAUUUGAUUCAA